GAUGAACGCUGGCGGCGUGCCUAAUACAUGCAAGUCGAGCGAACAGAUAAGGAGCUUGCUCCUUUGACGUUAGCGGCGGACGGGUGAGUAACACGUGGGUAACCUACCUAUAAGACUGGAAUAACUCCGGGAAACCGGGGCUAAUGCCGGAUAAUAUUUACAGCCGCAGGGUGCUAAAGAUAAAGAUGGUUUUGCUAUCACUUAUAGAUGGACCCGUGCCGUAUUAGCUAGUUGGUAAGGUAACGGCUUACCAAGGCAACGAUCCGUAGCCGACCUGAGAGGGUGAUCGGCCACACUGGAACUGAGACACGGUCCAGACUCCUACGGGAGGCAGCAGUAGGGAAUCUUCCGCAAUGGGCGAAAGCCUGACGGAGCAACGCCGCGUGAGUGAUGAAGGUCUUCGGAUCGUAAAACUCUGCUAUUAGGGAAGAACAAAUGUGUAAGUAACUGUGCACGUCUUGACGGUACCUAAUCAGAAAGCCACGGCUAACUACGUG
rnacentral:rRNA from 1 species